UAGACCAAUAAUGGAAUAAAAUGUAACAGAGCGUAAUAGAGUCAU
rnacentral:misc_RNA from 1 species